rnacentral:lncRNA from 1 species
GAGGGAGAGAGAGAAAGAAAGGAAAGAAAGAAAGAAAGGAAAGGAAAGGAAGGAAGGAAGGAAGGAAGGAAGGAAGGAAGGAAGUCAGCUGAGCCAAUACAGUGUUUUCUAUGCAAGCAUGCACAGUCUGAGAUUCCCAAAACCUACAUAGAAAAGAAAAGGGGAAAAAAUGUGAUGCUGUGCAUUUAUAAUUCAGGUCUGAGGAGGCACAGACAGGAGGAUCCCAGGGGGCGUAGGUCUCUAGCCAGUCUGGUCAAUCAGUGAACUUGAUCCCAGGGGGCAUAGGUCUCUAGCCAGUCUGGUCAAUCAGUGAACUUCCGAUUCACCCACGCUCAUCAACAGGUCAACAAUAGGUGAACUCUCAUACGUCAAUACCCAAGCAGUCUUUGGCAAGACUUUGAUACAUUGUGCCCUUUUCCCAUGCUAAAUCAAAUGCCAAUCAUGAUACUGUUUCAUUCAGGAAUAUUUCCCAUUGUGUCCUGUCUGAACUGAAAGCUGCUCUCUCCCUCUCUCUCCCCCUUGUUCCUUUUCAAGGCCACUCAGGAAGGCCUUGUGAUUAGCACUGUGUUUUGCCUUCUAAGUCCUGCCACGUCCACAAACUCAAUUUUCUGUUCUGUGCUUCUCUAGAGACCUUCCGGUAUGGUGAGCAUUAAAUGUAUCUCUCUGUGAACAUUAGCAGACUUCGGACUGGUAGAUAAAGAUGCUAGUUUUCCCAGGAAUCAAAACCUAGACAGUGCCUACCUCUUUCCUGCCUUCAUUGCAGAGCACUGCAUAAAGCGUACUGAGUUAAGCAGGGAUAAUUUUUCUGAUGUAAAGUCUGGUUAGGCUAACUCUUUACCCAAUUACACAGCACUGUAGACCCUCGUGAAAGCAGCUAGCUCUGUCACCACUGUCCCCUAGGAAAGGUCAAGGCUGCAAUUAGCAGUUGCCAUGAGAAACGGGGCCUCACAACGAGAUACCUGAAACAAUCAAAACAAAGAAAAACAAAGCGAUUCUGAAUAAGCGUUCCCAUUCAUUGUUUCAUUUUAUCUACCCAGUAGCCCUUUGAAAUGGGUGUUUCCAUACUAGCCUUUUUCUCAUGAUUAAAAUUUUAUUUAUAUACCUUUAUUGUAGGUAUUUUAGGAGACAUAGGCAGGGCAAUGAGAAAGUGACCCAUCAUUUCCUAUCUCCUGGAAAUAACCACUCUAAUUAAUUUAGUGUAUAUAUUUUCGAUCUGUCUUUUCAAUGUGCUUCUUCUUUUUUGGCAAAGAUUAUUCUCUGGCAUUUUGUAUCCUUCUGCUUCCCUUGCUUCAUGCUGCUAGAACAUCCUUCUCUGAGAUUUGUGUUAUCCCAUGAUAUAGACAUCCUUGACCUACAUCAUCCUCUUUGUUGACACUUGUGUGGCUCCUGCCUUGUGUAUCUCUCAAAUAAGCAAGGGGGUGAUGAAAGGAUCUGCAUGGACCAUGAGUCAAAGAUUAAUCAAUAUGGUUAUACUUCUUCUAUAUUUGGUUUUCUUUUAAGUAUUUUUUAACUUUAUUAUUUAUAUGACUAGACUGUAGCUGUCUUCAGACACACUAGAAGAGGGCAUUGGAUCCCAUUACAGAUAGUUGUGAGCUACCAUGUGGUUGUUAGGAAUUGAACUCAGGACCUCUGGAAGAACAGCCAGUGCUAUUAACAGCUGAACCAUCUCUUCAGUCCCAUCUUUUUUCUUUUCUUUUUAAGGAAGAACUCUCUGUAUAGUCUAGGCUAGCCUCCAACUUGUGACAACCCUCCUGUCUCAGUUUCCCUAGUGCUGAGAUGACUAUCACAUGACAGUUAGACUGUCUCAGUUGGGCCAUAUUUCUAGUGGUAGAAUUUUAUGAUGAAAGAAAACAAUUAUAUCCCUGUUCAAUUAGGGAAACUGAGGCACAAACCAUUAGUUGCCUUACCCAAAAUUACAUAUCAGGUAAUUGACAAAACUAGGAACUCCUGACUCAGAAUCUCAUAGGGGAAAUAGUUUACCCAUCGAAUCUGACAAAUACAAAUUCCUGAAAAAAUAAAUACUUCAGAGAUGGAAAAGGGACUCAGGUGUUGUCUUAGUUACUUUUCUAUUGCUUUGAAGAAACACCAUGACCAAGGUAACUUGUAAGAUAAUGCAUUUAAUUUGGGGGCUCGUGGUUACAGAGGGUUAGAUUUCAUGACCCACAUGGUAGGGAGCAUUGCACCAGGCAGGCAGUCAUGGUGCUGGAGCAGUGGCUAAGAGUUUCCAUCUUGGUCAACAACCACAAGGCAGAGAGAGCUAACUGGGAAUGGUGUGGGCUUUGAUGCAUCAAAAUCCAGUGACAUUGGUUUUUGGUGGUUGUUUAUGGGAUGGAUCUCCAGGUGGGGCAGUCUCUGGAUGGUCACUCCUUCAGUCUCUACUCCACACUCUGUAACUCGUUCCAUGGGUAUUUUGUUCCCCCUUUUAAGAAGGACCAAAGUAUCCACACUUAGGUCUUCCUUCAUCUUGAGUUUCAUGUCUUUUGCGAAUUGUAUCUUGGGUAUUCCAAGCUUCUGGGCUAAUAUCCACUUAUCAGUGAGUGCAUAUCAUGUGAGUUCUUUUGUGAUUGGGUUACCUCAGGAUGAUAUCCUUCAGACACAUCCAUUUGUCGAAGAAUUUCAUAAAUUCAUUGUUUUUAACAGCUGAGUAGUACUCCAUUGUGUAAAUGUAACACAUUUUCUGUAUCCAUUCCUCUGUUGAAGGGCAUCUGGAUUCUUUCUUUUGUUGUUAUUUGCUUGUUUGUUUGUUUGGUUGGUUUGGGGUUUUUUUUUUGAGACCGCGUUUCUCCGUAUAGCCCUGGCUGUCCUGGAACUCACUCUGUAGACCAGGCUGGCCUCAAACUCAGAAAUCCCCCUGCCUCUGCCUCCCAAGUGCUGGAAUUAAAGGCAUGUGCCACCACCGCGCAGCCAAUUCUUUCCAGUUUCUGGCUAUUAUAUAUAAAGCUGCUAUGAACAUAGUAGAGCAUGUGUCCUUAUUACAAGUUGGAGCAUCUUCUGGGUAUAUGCCCAGGAGUGGUAUUGCUGGAUCCUCUGGUAGUUCUAUGUCCAGUUUUCUAAGGAACCACCAAACUGAUUUCCAGAGUGGUUGUACCAGCUUGUAAUCCCACCAGCAAUGGAGGAGUGUUCCUCUUCCUCCACAUCCACGCCAGCCUCUGCUGUCACCUGAGUUUUUGAUCUUAGCCAUUCUGACUGGUGUGAGGUAAGAUCUCAGAUUUGUUUUGAUUUGCAUUUCCCUGGUGACUAAGGAUGUUAAACAUUUUCUUAGGUGCUUCUUAGUCAUUCAGUAUUCCUCAGUUGAGAAUUCUUUAUUUAACUCUGUACCCAUUUUUAAUAGGUUUUUAUUUGGUUUUCUGGAGUCUAACUUCUUGAGUUAUUUGUAUAUAUUGGAUAUUAGCCCUCUAUUGGAUUUUAAAUCGGUAAAGAUCUUUUCCCAAUCAGUUGGUUGCCUUUUUGUCUUAUUGACAGUGUUCUUUGCCUUACAGAAGCUUUGCAAUUUUAUGAGGUUCCAUUUGUUAAUUCUUGAUCUUACAGUAAAAGCCAUUGGUUUUGUGUUCAGGAAUUUUUCCCCUGUGCCUAUAUUCAAGGCUCUUUUCCACUUUCUCUUCUAUAAGUUUCAGUGUCUCUGGUUUUAUGUGGAAUUCUUUGAUCCACUUAGACUUAAGCUUUGUACAAGGAGAUAAGGAUGGAUCAAUUCGCAUUCUUCUACAUGCUUGAGCCAGCACCAUUUGUUGAAAAUGCUGUCUCCUGGGGAAUCCAUCCCAUAAACAGCCACCAAAACCAAACACUACUGUGGAUGCCAACAAGACCUUGCUGACAGGAGCCUGAUAUAGCUGCCUGAGAGGCUCUGCCUGUGCCUAACAAAUACAGAAGUGGAUGCUCACAGCCAUCCAUUGGACGGAGUGCAGGAUCCCCAAUGAAGGAGCUAGAGAAAGUACCCAAGGUGCUAAAGGGGUUUGCAACCCCAUAGGAGGAACAACAAUAUGAACUAACCAGUAUCUCCAGAGCUCUUUGGGACUAAACUACCAACCAGAAAAAC